UGCUGCCCAAUACAGCUUCGGAAGGCGGCGCCGGCUUUGUCCGCUCAGUGCAGAGCUGGGGUAUAGGGAGAAUAGUAGCGGAUGAGAGAGGAUCCAAAACCGAGUAGAGCAGGGUCCGUUUGUGCGAGAAAAACGGCAAAGAUUACGGAGGGAAGAACUCGAGGGUAUUAAGCACUUCUCUGUCCUUCGCCAGCCCGAGGUUCUUUUGCCUCCAUCUUGCUCCGUUCAGGUUUUGGAGUACAGUAGAGUGGUUUCUUGUGUCUCCCGGUUGAUUCCAGAAUCCUCCCUGCUUCGGCCCCCUACAGAGAGACCAUGCCGAGACCCCGGAAGAGGCUGGCUGGCGCUGCUGGCCCAGAUAAAAAGGGGCCAUCAGGAAAACAUUCCAAAACUGAGAACUCUGAUGAGGCAUCGGCUGAAGUGGUGAACUCCAGGUCUCAGAAGACUUCAGCCUCCAAAAACUGUGGGAAGAAUUUAAGCAACUACUGGCUGAUGAAGUCAGAGCCAGAGAGCCGACUAGAGAAAGGUGUAGAUGUGAAGUUCAGCAUUGAGGAUCUCAAAGCACAGCCCAAGCAGACAGCAUGCUGGGAUGGGGUUCGCAACUACCAGGCUCGGAACUUCCUUAGAGCCAUGAAGUUGGAGGAAGAAGCCUUCUUCUACCAUAGCAACUGCAAAGAGCCAGGCAUCGUGGGACUUAUGAAGAUUGUAAAGGAGGCUUACCCAGACCAUACACAGUUUGAGAAAGAAAAUCCCCAUUAUGACCCAUCCAGCAAAGAAGACAACCCCAAAUGGUCCAUGGUGGAUGUACAGUUUGUUCGGAUGAUGAAGCGUUUCAUCUCCCUCACUGAACUCAAAACCUACUACCAGGCUCACAAAGCUACUGGUGGUCCCUUAAAAAACAUGGCUCUUUUCACUCGCCAGAGACUGUCAGUUCAGCCCUUGACCCAAGAAGAGUUUGACUUUAUUUUGAGCCUGGAGGAAAAGGAACUAAGUUAACUGAGGCACUGUUGCUGGAAUGGAUAAGCCAUUACUCCAAAAAAGUCAAGCCUUUAUAACACAAAAGAAAGUGUGAGAAAACUUGCUUGUUUUGUUCACCUGGGAUCAUGUACAAAGGCUGGCUCCUUCUGCCACUGGAAGAUGCAGGGUACCUUUCCUGCCAUCAGCCUCUGCCAUCGCUGAUACUUACAUAGCAAGUAGAAGAAUUCAAGGCUGAAUCCCUUGUGUUAACACCCACUAAAACCAACUUUUGGUCUUUCUACACCUGCCUUCCUCAGUGGCCCCUUAAGUCCUCUGGGUCCCAAAGGUUUAAACCAUGAUUGGUUUCAGGAUAGAUUGUCAGAUGGGGAAAAUCUGACAAUCACUGAAAAGUGAAUUCACUUUUCAGCCAUCCACUUGUCUAAAACGGCUGGUUAAUAAAGUGCUCAUCAUUGUUCAAUA